rnacentral:rRNA from 1 species
UGCUCCCUGAUGUUAGCGGCGGACGGGUGAGUAACACGUGGGUAACCUGCCUGUAAGACUGGGAUAACUCCGGGAAACCGGGGCUAAUACCGGAUGGUUGUUUGAACCGCAUGGUUCAGACAUAAAAGGUGGCUUCGGCUACCACUUACAGAUGGACCCGCGGCGCAUUAGCUAGUUGGUGAGGUAACGGCUCACCAAGGCGACGAUGCGUAGCCGACCUGAGAGGGUGAUCGGCCACACUGGGACUGAGACACGGCCCAGACUCCUACGGGAGGCAGCAGUAGGGAAUCUUCCGCAAUGGACGAAAGUCUGACGGAGCAACGCCGCGUGAGUGAUGAAGGUUUUCGGAUCGUAAAGCUCUGUUGUUAGGGAAGAACAAGUGCCGUUCAAAUAGGGCGGCACCUUGACGGUACCUAACCAGAAAGCCACGGCUAACUACGUGCCAGCAGCCGCGGUAAUACGUAGGUGGCAAGCGUUGUCCGGAAUUAUUGGGCGUAAAGGGCUCGCAGGCGGUUUCUUAAGUCUGAUGUGAAAGCCCCCGGCUCAACCGGGGAGGGUCAUUGGAAACUGGGGAACUUGAGUGCAGAAGAGGAGAGUGGAAUUCCACGUGUAGCGGUGAAAUGCGUAGAGAUGUGGAGGAACACCAGUGGCGAAGGCGACUCUCUGGUCUGUAACUGACGCUGAGGAGCNAAAGCGUGGGGAGCGAACAGNAUUAGAUACCCUGGUAGUCCACGCCGUAAACGAUGAGUGCUAAGUGUUAGGGGGNUUNCNCCCNUUAGUGCUGCAGCUAACGCAUUAAGCACUCCGCCUGGGGAGUACGGUCGCAAGACUGAAACUCAAAGGAAUUGACGGGGGCCGGCCCAACCGGUGGAGAUUGUGGUUUUAUU